UAUGUUAUAUUCUUAAUUUGUUUAUUAGUUUAUUAUAUAUUUGGAGGUUUGCUUUGUAACUUUUAGUUAUUUAACCUAUAGAGACCUUUAUUUUGAAAGGCGGCUUGCCGGAAAUGCGAACAGAUCGCUCGCGCGCAGGAAGCGCGCAUAUACGGAGAUUGCAGACAGACGGAGACACGGAACCAUGCGGUCACGGAUUCACACAUCUGAAUAAUACACCUGGUUGGAAAGGAGUACAAGCUCUUACGGUGUUGUGAAGGUGUUGUGAAGGCAAUGUGAAGGUGUAACGGACAAUAAACAGACAACAUCAGUGAGAGAGCGACUUUUCUUUAUUCAACCGGGCUGCU